GACGAACGCUGGCGGCGUGCUUAACACAUGCAAGUCGAACGGAAAGGCCCUGCUUGCAGGGUACUCGAGUGGCGAACGGGUGAGUAACACGUGGGUGAUCUGCCCUGCACUUCGGGAUAAGCCUGGGAAACUGGGUCUAAUACCGGAUAGGAGCCAUUUUUAGUGUGAUGGUUGGAAAGUUUUUUUCGGUGUAGGAUGAGCUCGCGGCCUAUCAGCUUGUUGGUGGGGUAAUGGCCUACCAAGGCGGCGACGGGUAGCCGGCCUGAGAGGGUGGACGGCCACAUUGGGACUGAGAUACGGCCCAGACUCCUACGGGAGGCAGCAGUGGGGAAUAUUGCACAAUGGGCGCAAGCCUGAUGCAGCGACGCCGCGUGGGGGAUGACGGCCUUCGGGUUGUAAACUCCUUUCGCUAGGGACGUAGCUUUUUGUGACGGUACCUAGAUAAGAAGCACCGGCUAACUACGUG
rnacentral:rRNA from 1 species